rnacentral:lncRNA from 10 species
UGGGGUGUUCCUGCCAGCCCCAGGAGAGGGGAAAGCAAGCCCCCGUCCACCCUUGUGGGUCUCUGCUCCUGGAAAAGGUGCUCUAGCAGGCUCAUCUGUGUGAGUCACUGUCUUCCAUGUGGGAAUGCUGGAAGCCAAGCUUGCACAUUCUAGGCAGCCAUUUGGAAGAUUCUUCUCUGCGCAUGACCAGCUGAAAAGGAAAAACCCCGAAACAUUGGCACUGUGAUUUCUCCAUGUGAACAGUUUAGUUCGCCGAGGUGGACAUGCCUCAUUCAUGCUUAUGGAGUGACCGACCAGCCUUUAGUGACACCCCCUGAAAUGUGAGUCAUCCAUGGGUCACUAGUCAUUGGAGAAGAGCCCCUUAUACAAAACUUGGAGCUCAGACCACAAACAACAACAACAAUCCAAAAAAUAAAAAAAUGAAAAAUUAGGAGCAGAGACUAAAUGGAAAGAUGGAAAUAUUAAAAUAAAAAUAUUAUUUUAAAAAUUAAUAUGUAUUAAAAUUUU